rnacentral:rRNA from 1 species
UGGACGAACGCUGGCGGCGUGCUUAACACAUGCAAGUCGAACGGAAAGGCCCUGCUUUUGUGGGGUGCUCGAGUGGCGAGCGGGUGAGUAACACGUGAGUAACCUGCCCUUGACUUUGGGAUAACUUCAGGAAACUGGGGCUAAUACCGGAUAGGAGCUCCUGCUGCAUGGUGGGGGUUGGAAAGUUUCGGCGGUUGGGGAUGGACUCGCGGCUUAUCAGCUUGUUGGUGGGGUAGUGGCUUACCAAGGCUUUGACGGGUAGCCGGCCUGAGAGGGUGACCGGCCACAUUGGGACUGAGAUACGGCCCAGACUCCUACGGGAGGCAGCAGUGGGGAAUAUUGCACAAUGGGCGGAAGCCUGAUGCAGCAACGCCGCGUGCGGGAUGACGGCCUUCGGGUUGUAAACCGCUUUCGCCUGUGACGAAGCGUGAGUGACGGUAAUGGGUAAAGAAGCACCGGCUAACUACGUGCCAGCAGCCGCGGUGAUACGUAGGGUGCGAGCGUUGUCCGGAUUUAUUGGGCGUAAAGGGCUCGUAGGUGGUUGAUCGCGUCGGAAGUGUAAUCUUGGGGCUUAACCCUGAGCGUGCUUUCGAUACGGGUUGACUUGAGGAAGGUAGGGGAGAAUGGAAUUCCUGGUGGAGCGGUGGAAUGCGCAGAUAUCAGGAGGAACACCAGUGGCGAAGGCGGUUCUCUGGGCCUUUCCUGACGCUGAGGAGCGAAAGCGUGGGGAGCGAACAGGCUUAGAUACCCUGGUAGUCCACGCUGUAAACGGUGGGUACUAGGUGUGGGGUCCAUUCCACGGGUUCCGUGCCGUAGCUAACGCUUUAAGUACCCCGCCUGGGGAGUACGGCCGCAAGGCUAAAACUCAAAGGAAUUGACGGGGCCCCGCACAAGCGGCGGAGCAUGCGGAUUAAUUCGAUGCAACGCGUAGAACCUUACCUGGGUUUGACAUGGAUCGGGAGUGCUCAGAGAUGGGUGUGCCUCUUUUGGGGUCGGUUCACAGGUGGUGCAUGGCUGUCGUCAGCUCGUGUCGUGAGAUGUUGGGUUAAGUCCCGCAACGAGCGCAACCCUUGUUCACUGUUGCCAGCACGUUAUGGUGGGGACUCAGUGGAGACCGCCGGGGUCAACUCGGAGGAAGGUGGGGAUGACGUCAAGUCAUCAUGCCCCUUAUGUCCAGGGCUUCACGCAUGCUACAAUGGCUGGUACAGAGAGUGGCGAGCCUGUGAGGGUGAGCGAAUCUCGGAAAGCCGGUCUCAGUUCGGAUUGGGGUCUGCAACUCGACCUCAUGAAGUCGGAGUCGAUAGUAAUCGCAGAUCAGCAACGCUGCGGUGAAUACGUUCCCGGGGCUUGUACACACCGCCCGUCAAGUCAUGAAAGUUGGUAACACCCGAAGCCGGUGGCCUAACCGUUGUGGGGGAGCCGUCGAAGGUGG